UACUGCUAGGCAAUGCUUGACGAAUGAAGCUUCCAUCACUCUUGACGAUGCUGUAGCCAUGGCAGGUCGUCGUGGCCAUGCUCAAACUACAUCUCUUCAUUAUAUAUCUUCCUUACUCUCUGUUCCUUCUUCAUGUUUACGUGAGGCAUGUUCUCGUACAAGGAACAAUGCGUACUCUGCUCGUGUUCAAUUCAAAGCUCUAGACCUCUGUUUAGGGGUUUCAAUGGAUCGGUUGCCUUCGUG
rnacentral:misc_RNA from 1 species